rnacentral:lncRNA from 1 species
GUUUCUUAGGGACACGGCUGACUUCCAGAUAUGACCAUGUAUUUGUGGCUUAAACUCUUGGCAUUUGGCUUUGCCUUUCUGGACACAGAAGUAUUUGUGACAGGGCAAAGCCCAACACCUUCCCCCACUGGUGUUUCAUCAGUACAGACGCCUCACCUUCCCACGCACGCAGACUCGCAGACGCCCUCUGCUGGAACUGACACGCAGACAUUCAGCGGCUCCGCCGCCAAUGCAAAACUCAACCCUACCCCAGGCAGCAAUGCUAUCUCAGAUGCCUACCUUAAUGCCUCUGAAACAACCACUCUGAGCCCUUCUGGAAGCGCUGUCAUUUCAACCACAACAAUAGCUACUACUCCAUCUAAGCCAACAUGUGAUGAAAAAUAUGCAAACAUCACUGUGGAUUACUUAUAUAACAAGGAAACUAAAUUAUUUACAGCAAAGCUAAAUGUUAAUGAGAAUGUGGAAUGUGGAAACAAUACUUGCACAAACAAUGAGGUGCAUAACCUUACAGAAUGUAAAAAUGCGUCUGUUUCCAUAUCUCAUAAUUCAUGUACUGCUCCUGAUAAGACAUUAAUAUUAGAUGUGCCACCAGGGGUUGAAAAGUUUCAGUUACAUGAUUGUACACAAGUUGAAAAAGCAGAUACUACUAUUUGUUUAAAAUGGAAAAAUAUUGAAACCUUUACUUGUGAUACACAGAAUAUUACCUACAGAUUUCAGUGUGGUAAUAUGAUAUUUGAUAAUAAAGAAAUUAAAUUAGAAAACCUUGAACCCGAACAUGAGUAUAAGUGUGACUCAGAAAUACUCUAUAAUAACCACAAGUUUACUAACGCAAGUAAAAUUAUUAAAACAGAUUUUGGGAGUCCAGGAGAGCCUCAGAUUAUUUUUUGUAGAAGUGAAGCUGCACAUCAAGGAGUAAUUACCUGGAAUCCCCCUCAAAGAUCAUUUCAUAAUUUUACCCUCUGUUAUAUAAAAGAGACAGAUUGCCUCAAUCUGGAUAAAAACCUGAUCAAAUAUGAUUUGC